rnacentral:tRNA from 1 species
GCCGGGGUGGCGGAAUUGGUAGACGCAAGGGACUUAAAAUCCCUCGGGCCUCUGGCUCGUGCGGGUUCGAGUCCCGCCCUCGGCA